rnacentral:lncRNA from 1 species
CGGGUACCAACAUCAGCAUGAAGUUCGGGAGACUCCUCAAAUUUCAUCUGAUCUCCAAAUUUCAUGUUCUUAUAGUCAUUGGAAAACUACGGAUGUCUACUUUCCAACAAAAUUUGAAUCAACUUAAUCAGACUUCUGUAGCUUCUAAAAUCUUCAAAAUACCAUAUGGUGUUCAAUCUGUCACGGAUUUCAACUGGAUUUGAACUCUGAAUUUCUUCCACAUGUGAGAGGUCUUCAUGGUUGAACUUCU